UACGUAGGGUGCAAGCGUUAAUCGGAAUUACUGGGCGUAAAGCGUGCGCAGGCGGUUCGUUGUGUCGGCGGUGAAAGCCCCGGGCUCAACCUGGGAAUGGCCGUUGAAACUGGCGAACUGGAGUGUGGCAGAGGGGGGUGGAAUUCCGCGUGUAGCAGUGAAAUGCGUAGAGAUGCGGAGGAACACCGAUGGCGAAGGCAGCCCCCUGGGCUAACACUGACGCUCAGGCACGAAGGCGUGGGGAGCAAACAGG
rnacentral:rRNA from 1 species